GCCGGGCAUGGUGGUGCAUGCCUGUGAUCCCAGCUACUCAGGAGGCUGAGGCAGGAGAGUCACUUGAACCCAGGAGGCCGAGGCUGCAGUGAGCCGAGAUCACACCACUGCAGUCCAGCCUGGGAGACAGAGUAAGACCCUGUCUCAA
rnacentral:SRP_RNA from 1 species